AUGUGGACAUGCGCUACGGUCAUUAAUUGAAAGAUCCGAAUGACAAGCUUUAAUGAAACAUGUAAUAGGUUUCGCCCUCAGAUCAUUCGUAAUAAACUGUCAUAAAUGUUGGGUUUUAUUCGAGUUUUAUUGAUAUAGUCAUAGUAAGUCAUUUUCCACGCAGUAAGACAGUAACAUUACCAGCGUACAUCAGUGGGAAUUGUAAUACAUGAUCAAGGAUGAAAAUUCAAACAGUCUUGUGUAGCUGUGUGCUAGCUGCGUGUGUUGCCAUGACAACAGCACAACCACAAUACAUGAUAAAUGGCAUGUAUCCUGGGGGUUUUCAGUAUCCGAUGCAGUUUCGAAGUUUCGGUAAUCAGGUUAGAGGAGGAAUUCAAGAUUAUUUUGGCGGACGAGGUGGAUCGAAUGGUCUUCCAGUGUGGGGCGGUGCGGGCAUUGGGCCAGCACAUGCAGAUGGAAUAGAUAGAAGGGGGAGAGGCUGGUACCCAUUCCCAAAUAAUUAACCUGGGUUACGACAGGAAACAUUUUGAGAUUGUUGUUUAAAUGCUCUCUUUAAAACAGUUUAAGAAGUUAAAAUAUUUGUCAAAGGAUUAUGCGAACGCUUCGCUUGGUAACCCAACUAGUAAAGAAUAACAACUCAAACGAAACAGUGACUGUAAAAUUGAAACUAUUUUCUCCCUUGCACUUGGAUAAUUUGUUUUUGAAAUAAAUCCGUUUUGUCUUAAAUGAAAUGUUGGGGUUUUAUUUAUACUGAGAUGACGGAUUAAUGAAUUCAUGUUUAGAUUUAUUUUUCACAGCAGACGAAAAAUCUUGCAUGCCUUCUUACCGCCAUUAAGAAUGCUGAUAAAAAUAAUGGGGAAUAUAGUUCAAUGUGCAACAACGAUUGCUGUGAAUUCUAACUUCAAAAUGAUUUAAUUUUCUUGGAAUUUUGAAAAUACGAACGCAUUUGUAUAGAACUAAAAAGUCAUUCAGAAUAUACACAUGAUGCACACAUACAGUACGCACAAACGACUUUUUAUUCGCAUUUUAUUAGUUAAUUCAACGCCUAGAGAUUGAAAGCAAGAAGUGACAUUUCUUGUGCAUUUGAACAUACGAGGAUAUAUUUUUACUGGCUGUCAAAAUCCCUAUUGACAAGUUAUUAAAGUUUUACAUCAAAAUAUA